rnacentral:lncRNA from 1 species
CAAGCCCACUUCAAAGCGUCCUCGCGUGACGACACAGUGGCGUCCUUCCACACCUUUUCCUUGGUGUGCCCAGCAUUCACCCAAGUCUCGUCAAGGUA